UACGAAGGGGGCUAGCGUUGCUCGGAAUUACUGGGCGUAAAGCGCACGUAGGCGGAUUGUUAAGUCGGGGGUGAAAUCCUAGAGCUCAACUCCAGAACUGCCUUCGAUACUGGCGAUCUCGAGUUCGGGAGAGGUGAGUGGAACUGCGAGUGUAGAGGUGAAAUUCGUAGAUAUUCGCAAGAACACCAGUGGCGAAGGCGGUUCUCUGGGCCUGUACUGACGCUGAGGAGCGAAAGCGUGGGGAGCGAACAGG
rnacentral:rRNA from 1 species